UACGUAGGGUGCGAGCGUUAAUCGGAAUUACUGGGCGUAAAGCGUGCGCAGGCGGUUCGCCAAGUCAGGUGUGAAAUCCCCGGGCUUAACCUGGGAAUUGCGCUUGAAACUAGCGGGCUUGAGUGCGGCAGAGGGGGGUGGAAUUCCACGUGUAGCAGUGAAAUGCGUAGAGAUGUGGAGGAAUACCGAUGGCGAAGGCAGCCCCCUGGGUCGACACUGACGCUCAUGCACGAAAGCGUGGGGAGCAAACAGG
rnacentral:rRNA from 1 species